rnacentral:misc_RNA from 1 species
UUAAAAAUAUAUAAAACGAUCAUAAAACCAAUCAGGACGUACGGAAUACCAUUAUGGGGGACGACAGCAAUGAGCCAUAUAAACAAAAUAGAGGUAAUACAGGCUAAAAUCCUCAGGACAAUAGUAAACGGACCUUGGUACGUCAGAAACGAAGAUAUACGAAGGGACCUGGGAAUGCCAACGGUCAAGGAAGAAAUCAACAGAUACUCCGAGAAAUACAAAUUAAGAAUAGCAACACACAUAAACCGGCUAGCUGCGGAAACAUACAAAAUUACAAAUAUGGAC